ensembl:snRNA U6 U6 spliceosomal RNA
GUGCUCCCUUCAGCAGCACAUAAACCAAAAUCGGAACAACACAGAGGUUAGCAUGGUCCCUGCGCAAGCAUGACACACAAAUCCAUGAAGUGUUUCAUGAUUUU